rnacentral:rRNA from 1 species
UACAGGGGGUGCAAACGUUGCUCGGAAUCAUUGGGCGUAAAGCGCACGUAGGCGGUUCGUUAUGUCGGAUGUGAAAGCCCUUGGCUUAACCGAGGAAGUGCAUCCGAAACUGGCGAGCUAGAGUACUAAAGAGGAUCGCGGAAUUCCCGGUGUAGAGGUGAAAUUCGUAGAUAUCGGAAGGAACGCCGGUGGCGAAAGCGGCGUGCUGGACCUCUUCUGACGCUGAGGCGCGAAAGCCAGGGGAGCAAACGGG